UUUAGUUGAUUAAGAGUAAGCCUCAGUUCCUUCGGGUACUGAGGCUUUUUUAUUGAUUAAAAAAGUUGAGGUAUAAAAAAAGCGCAUCUACAGAUGCGCUUUUUAAUAAUUUGGUAGGCACAAUUGGAUUCGAACCAACGACCCCCACCA
rnacentral:antisense_RNA from 1 species